UGAAAACUAAGCUACAGAAGCAAUAUUUACAUGUUGAUUAUACAAUGAAAUUGUAUGAGAAUUUUCAUUGUUUGAAGCAAAAUAAUAAGUCUGUUAAAGAGUACAUAGCAAAGUUCAAUAACUUGCCAAUUUGGAUUGAAUUAUCCAAGAGUAACAAACACAUUACUUCUUGUUAUCUUGCCAGUUUGGAUCACUCUAUUAUAGACAAGAUGAGAGUAAUUCAUUUGUACAACAUAGAAGAUGCUUGCAAAUAUGUUUUAACGCUUGGGAUAAAUUGCCACAUAUAAGGAUAGCAGAGCGUCUAGAGCGCCGCUCAAAUGGGUGAGGGAGAAUGUUGCCUACUGAAGGUAUUCCCAACCAAUCGCCCCAAUCGAAGGAGCAGGGUAAUUGGGCCAACUGAACAGCUAGACAGCCAGCAGGCCGUGUGAGGCAACAUUGCAUGCUAGCAAGGGCCAACAGGCUAACCAACGCGCCCAAACGAGGUUGGGCAGGCAGGAAGCUUCCAGCCUCCAAGAGUCACCCAUUAUGUUCCAACACCUGCAAGAAUUACCUAGCAUAUUCCAGCACACCCCAGCAAGCUCCAAAGAGUUCAAGCGCGCCCCAGAGUUGCCUAGAAGGUUCCAGUGUGCGCUAGGCCAAUUGAGGUUAGACUGGAGCUUUCCCCCACCCGCCAAAAGCAUCUAGAAUUGGCUAGCCAGUAUUCCAAGUGAGGUUGAGAAGCAGCCAGUGCGUUAAAA
rnacentral:misc_RNA from 1 species